CAAAGGAAUUGACGGGGCCCGCACAAGCGGUGGAGUAUGUGGUUAAUUCGAUGCAACGCGAAGAACCUUACCUGGUCUUGACAUCCCGGAGACCCUUAGGAAACUAGGGGUGCUUCCAUCUGGAAGAAUCUGGAGACAGGUGCUGCAUGGCUGUCGUCAGCUCGUGUCGUGAGAUGUUGGGUUAAGUCCCGCAACGAGCGCAACCCUUGCCUUUAGUUGCCAGCAGUUCGGCUGGGCACUCUAAAGGGACUGCCGGUGUUAAACCGGAGGAAGGUGGGGAUGACGUCAAGUCCUCAUGGCCUUUAUGACCAGGGCUACACACGUACUACAAUGGCCGAUACAAAGGGCAGCGACACUGCGAGGUGAAGCCAAUCCCGUAAAAUCGGUCUCAGUCCGGAUUGGAGUCUGCAACUCGACUCCAUGAAGUUGGAAUCGCUAGUAAUCGUGGAUCAGCAUGCCACGGUGAAUACGUUCCCGGGCCUU
rnacentral:rRNA from 1 species